rnacentral:rRNA from 1 species
GAUGAACGCUGGCGGCGUGCUUAACACAUGCAAGUCGAACGAAGCAUUUGCGACAGAUUUUUUCGGAAUGAAGUUGCUUAUGACUGAGUGGCGGACGGGUGAGUAACGCGUGGGUAACCUGCCUUGUACUGGGGGAUAGCAGCUGGAAACGGCUGGUAAUACCGCAUAAGCGCACAAUGUUGCAUGACAUGGUGUGAAAAACUCCGGUGGUAUAAGAUGGACCCGCGUCUGAUUAGCUAGUUGGUGAGAUAACAGCCCACCAAGGCGACGAUCAGUAGCCGACCUGAGAGGGUGACCGGCCACAUUGGGACUGAGACACGGCCCAGACUCCCACGGGAGGCAGCAGUGGGGAAUAUUGCACAAUGGAGGAAACUCUGAUGCAGCGACGCCGCGUGAGUGAAGAAGUAAUUCGUUAUGUAAAGCUCUAUCAGCAGGGAAGAUAGUGACGGUACCUGACUAAGAAGCUCCGGCUAAAUACGUG